rnacentral:sRNA from 1 species
UAUAUAUUUUUAUAUAUGAUAAAAUAUAUAAAAAUAUAUA